UGAUGAAGGCCUUAGGGUUGUAAAGCUCUUUUACCCGGGAUGAUAAUGACAGUACCGGGAGAAUAAGCUCCGGCUAACUCCGUGCCAGCAGCCGCGGUAAU
rnacentral:rRNA from 1 species